GACGAACGCUGGCGGCGUGCUUAACACAUGCAAGUCGAACGAUGAAGAAAAGAAUUGAAGCUUCGGCAGAAAUUCAUUUCGGAUUAGUGGCAGACGGGUGAGUAACGCGUGAGCAACCUACCUCUUACAAAGGGAUAGCCUCGGGAAACCGGGAUUAAUACCAUAUAACAUUGCGACGAAGCAUUUCGAUGCAAUCAAAGCUACGGCGGUAAGAGAUGGGCUCGCGUCCCAUUAACCAGAUGGUGAGGUAACGGCUCACCAUAGUAACGAUGGGUAACCGGCCUGAGAGGGUGAACGGUCACACUGGAACUGAGACACGGUCCAGACUCCUACGGGAGGCAGCAGUGGGGAAUAUUGCACAAUGGAGGGAACUCUGAUGCAGCGACGCCGCGUGAGUGAUGAAGGAAUUCGUUUCGUAAACUCUGUUCUAUGGGAAGAAAAGGACUGUACCAUAGGAGAAAGCUCCGGCUAAAUACGUG
rnacentral:rRNA from 1 species